CAAAGAGGUUUGAUGUUCACUGUUUAAACUUAGGUUAUAUCGUCUAAUGAAUCCGACUGUAUGAUAUUGUAUGUACAUCUUUAAAGAGUUUGAGGUCACUGUUUAAACUUAGGUUAUAUCGUCUAAUGAAUCCGACUGUAUGAUAUGUAUGUACAUCUUUAAAGAGGUUUGAGGUUCACUGUUUAAACUUAGGUUAUAUCGUCUAAUGAAUCCGACUGUAUGAUAUUGUAUGUACAUCUUUAAAGAGGUUUUGAUGUCACUGU
rnacentral:lncRNA from 1 species